UACGUAGGUGUCGAGCGUUGUCCGGAUUUAUUGGGCGUAAAGCGCCCGCAGGCGGCUUGGCAAGUUCGAGGUGAAAUCUCCCGGCUCAACUGGGAGGGGGCCAUCCAGACGGCGUGGCUUGAGGCUCGGAGGGGGGCGUGGAAUUCCGGGUGGAGCGGUGAAAUGCGUAGAGAUCCGGAGGAACACCGACGGCGAAGGCAGCGCCCUGGACGAGACCUGACGCUCAGGCACGAAAGCUGGGGGAGCAAACAGG
rnacentral:rRNA from 1 species